rnacentral:rRNA from 1 species
GCAAGUCGAGGGGUAACAUUGUAGCUUGCUUUUUUGCUGACGAGUGGCGCACGGGUGCGUAACGCGUAUACAAUCUACCUUUUACAGGGGGAUAGCCUUUAGAAAUGAAGAUUAAUACCCCAUGGCAAGUGAUUUUCGCAUGGAGGACACUUUAAAGUUUCGGUGGUAAAAGAUGAGUAUGCGUUCUAUUAGCUAGAUGGUAAGGUAACGGCUUACCAUGGCAACGAUAGAUAGGGGCCCUGAGAGGGGGAUC